rnacentral:misc_RNA from 1 species
AACUGCUCCAGGCAAUAGAAGAUUCUUUGACCCAGAUUUUUAUAGGAUUAUUUUGUUUGAUCAGCGAGGUGCAGGGAAAAGUACCCCACAUGCUUGCUUGGAGGAUAAUACCACGUGGAACCUCAUUGAUGACAUUGAGAAGCUAAGGGAACACUUGGAAAUUCCAGAGUGGCAGGUCUUUGGAGGUUCCUGGGGAAGUACGUUGGCUCUUGCUUAUAGUCAAUCUCAUCCUGAAAAGGUUACGGGAUUAGUUCUUAGAGGGAUCUUUCUUCUGCGGAAAAAA